UCAGUUGCAUAUUGAAAUGUUCUGGAAC
rnacentral:piRNA from 1 species